GGGGAUAUGGUUCAGUGGUUAAGAACACUGACAGCUCUUUCAGAGGACCCAGGUUCAAUUCCCAGCAUCCACA
rfam:Mus musculus chromosome 7, GRC primary reference assembly.